UGCCAGCAGCCGCGGUAAUACGAAGGGUGCUAGCGUUGUUCGGAAUUACUGGGCGUAAAGAGCAUGUAGGCGGAUGAGUUAGUCAGAGGUGAAAUCCCGGAGCUCAACUCCGGAACUGCCUUCAAUACUUCCAGUCUAGAAUCUGUAAGGGGGUGGUGGAAUUCCGAGUGUAGAGGUGAAAUUCGUAGAUAUUCGGAGGAACACCAGUGGCGAAGGCGACCACCUGGUACAGUAUUGACGCUGAGAUGCGAAAGCGUGGGGAGCAAACAGGAUUAGAUA
rnacentral:rRNA from 1 species